rnacentral:ncRNA from 1 species
CAAAGGUUUAGUCCUAACUUUAGUGUCAACUCUGGUUAAAUUUACACAUGCAAGUAUCCGCAUCCCUGUGAGAAUGCCCUACCUAUAUCCCCAAGAAAUAAAGGAGCAGGCAUUAGGCACAACACUAGUUAGCCCACGAUGCCUUGUUUAGCCACACCCCCACGGGAACCCAGCAGUGAUUAACAUUAAGCAAUAAGUGAAAACUUGACUUAGUUAAAACCAAGAGGGCCGGUAAAUCUCGUGCCAGCCACCGCGGUUAUACGGGAGACCCAAGUUGACAAACGUCGGCGUAAAACGUGGUUUAUUACAUUAUUACACUAAAGCUAAACCUCUUCAAGACUGUUGUACGUGUUCGAAAGAGAGAGAAUCUUCUACGAAAGUGGCUUUAAAUACUAUGAACCCACGAAAGCUAGGAAACAAACUGGGAUUAGAUACCCCACUAUGCCUAGCCCUAAACCAAGGUAACUAUACACUACAGUUACUUGCCCGGAAAUUACGAGCACCAGCUUAAAACCCAAAGGACUUGGCGGUGACUUAGACCCAUCUAGAGGAGCCUGUUCUGUAAUCGACACCCCCCGUUAAACCUAACCCUCUCUUGUCAUCCCCGCCUAUAUACCGCCGUCGUCAGCUUACCCUGUGAAGGACUAGUAGUGGGCAAAAUCGGCACAGCCCAAAACGCCAGGUCAAGGUGUAGCGUAUGAGAGGGGAAGAAAUGGGCUACAUUCACUGCACCAGUGAAAACGGAUAAUGCUUUGAAACAAGCACUUUUGAAGGAGGAUUUAGUAGUAAGAGGGGAAUAGAGUGCCCCUCUGAAACAGGCUCUGAGACACGCACAUACCGCCCGUCACUCUCUCCAGCAUAGCAGGUAUAGUAUUAAAUAAACAAUGACCCUAGGCACAAGGGGAGGCAAGUCGUAACAUGGUAAGUGUACCGGAAGGUGCACUUGGUAAACAU